rnacentral:lncRNA from 1 species
AGCGAGAGUAAGAAGUAUUGGCAGCAGCAAGCAGGCGGGCAGGCUGGGAUCUUGCACGGAAAUCAUGAACCCGGUCUUGCUUUCCGUUUUUUGAAACGUUUUGGAAGGAGAGUUAUGAAUAGCCCAGAAAUAGGUCUCAUUUUUGUGGGUAGGAAGAAUGACCAGAAGCAUGAAAGCUAAAUCUCCUGGCGAGUGCAGGGGACCACUCUUGGAGUGUGCAGUAAACCUGCGGAGGGGAAGACUUCAGCUGCUGUGAACUCCUGAACCAUCACAUCUGGAGUGAAGGGGCUGGUGAAGCCUUGUCAUAAACGCAAAGGAUGCUGCUGAGAGCUUUGAUCUGCCUUUAACUCAUUGUGAUGCUACUCCCAGUCUUCACUGAGAAACUGCUCUUGCCAGUGAAAGGCAGUGAAUGAAGAAGUGCCUGGCUGCUCAAGACUUUGAGAGUGACAUGUGUGUGCUCAACUCAGGAGGACAUUCAUCUCUUUCUCCAGGGCUCUAGGAACAAAGCUACAGUGGUGACAGGAAGAGUGUAAGAGCCCAGGACACCGGGAUGGGAGCUCUGAAGCUCUGUGCUGUACCAAGGACACAAUCGAUGCUAUCACCGCAUCAUGACAACAGAGGUCAGCAGUGGGUUUGUGCAAGACUGAGCAGGUCAGCAUUCAUUCAUUCAUAUAGAGAGAGGGCCCCUGCAGUCACAUCUUCACUGCUGAAUUAUGAGCUACUGAUGGAUUGUGGGAGGAACAAACAUUCUCUUUAGCCUUGUGCCCACUUCUGAGUUCACCAGGUUAAAGUGAGUAGUAGCUAAUCCAUGGACAUAAAUGGCCCUGAUUAAACGUAGUGGGUUAGG